rnacentral:rRNA from 1 species
UCGGGAAUUUUGGGCAAUGGGGGAAACCCUGACCCAGCAACGCCGCGUGAAGGAUGAAGUAUUUCGGUAUGUAAACUUCGAAAGAAUAGGAAGAAUAAAUGACGGUACUAUUUAUAAGGUCCGGCUAACUACGUGCCAGCAGCCGCGGUAAUACGUAGGGACCAAGCGUUGUUCGGAUUUACUGGGCGUAAAGGGCGCGUAGGCGGCAUGACAAGUCACUUGUGAAAUCUCUGGGCUUAACCCAGAACGGCCAAGUGAUACUGUCGCGCUAGAGUGCAGAAGGGGCAAUCGGAAUUCUUGGUGUAGCGGUGAAAUGCGUAGAUAUCAAGAGGAACACCUGAGGUGAAGACGGGUUGCUGGGCUGACACUGACGCUGAGGUGCGAAAGCGUGGGGAGCAAACAGGAUUAGAUACCCUCGUAGUCCCUGAGCGGGCUGGCAAGGCGCAU